GAUGAAGAACGCAGCGAAAUGCGAUAAGUAGUGUGAAUUGCAGAAUUCAGUGAAUCAUCGAAUCUUUGAACGCACAUUGCGCCCCUUGGUAUUCCAUGGGGCAUGCCUGUUCGAGCGUCAUUUGUACCUUCAAGCUCUGCUUGGUGUUGGGUGUUUGUCUCGCCUCUGCGUGUAGACUCGCCUCAAAACAAUUGGCAGCCGGCGUAUUGAUUUCGGAGCGUAGUACAUCUCGCGCUUUGCACUCAUAACGACGACGUCCAAAAGUACAUUUUUACACUCUUGACCUCGGAUCAGGUAGGGAUACCCGCUGAACUUAAGCAUAUCAAUAAGCGGAGGA
rnacentral:misc_RNA from 1 species